rnacentral:rRNA from 1 species
AACCUCCGCAAUGUGAGAAAUCGCGACGGGGGGAUCCCAAGUGCCAUUCUUAACGGGAUGGCUUUUCUUAAGUGUAAAAAGCUUUUGGAAUAAGAGCUGGGCAAGACCGGUGCCAGCCGCCGCGGUAACACCGGCAGCUCUAGUGGUAGCUGUUUUUAUUGGGCCUAAAGCGUUCGUAGCCGGUUUGAUAAGUCACUGGUGAAAUCCUGUAGCUUAACUGUGGGAAUUGCUGGUGAUACUGUUGAACUUGAGGUCGGGAGAGGUUAGCGGUACUCCCAGGGUAGAGGUGAAAUUCUGUAAUCCUGGGAGGACCACCUGUGGCGAAGGCGGCUAACUGGAACGAACCUGACGGUGAGGGACGAAAGCUAGGGGCGCGAACCGGAUUAGAUACCCGGGUAGUCCUAGCCGUAAACGAUGCGGACUUGGUGUUGGGAUGGCUUUGAGCCGCUCCGGUGCCGAAGGGAAGCUGUUAAGUCCGCCGCCUGGGAAGUACGGUCGCAAGACUAAAACUUAAAGGAAGU